rnacentral:rRNA from 1 species
CGUACCCCAAACCGACACAGGUGGGCAGGUAGAAGAUACCAAGGCGCUUGAGGGAACUAUGUUGAAGGAACUCGGCAAAAUGCUCCCGUAAGUUCGCGAGAAGGGAGACCUCUACUUAGGCAACUAGGUAGGGGUGGCACAGACCAGGGGGUGGCGACUGUUUACUAAAAACACAGGGCUCUGCGAAGUCGCAAGACGACGUAUAGGGUCUGACGCCUGCCCGGUGCCGGAAGGUUAAGAGGAGAGGUGA